rnacentral:rRNA from 1 species
UACGUAGGGUGCAAGCGUUGUCCGGAUUUAUUGGGCGUAAAGAGCUCGUAGGCGGUUUGGCAAGUCGGGUGUGAAACCUCCAGGCUCAACCUGGAGACGCCACUCGAUACUGCUAUGACUUGAGUCUGGUAGGGGAUCACGGAAUUCCUGGUGUAGCGGUGAAAUGCAUAGAUAUCAGGAGGAACACCGGUGGCGAAGGCGGUGAUCUGGGCCAGUACUGACGCUGAGGAGCGAAAGCGUGGGGAGCAAACAGG